rnacentral:rRNA from 1 species
UACGUAGGUGACCAGCGUUGUCCGGAUUUACUGGGCGUAAAGAGCGCGUAGGCGGUCGUUCAAGUCGAGUGUGAAAGCCCCCGGCUCAACUGGGGAGGGUCACUCGAUACUGAUCGACUUGAAGGCAGGAGAGGGAAGCGGAAUUCCCGGUGUAGUGGUGAAAUGCGUAGAUAUCGGGAGGAACACCAGUGGCGAAGGCGGCUUCCUGGGCUGUUCUUGACGCUGAGGCGCGAAAGCUAGGGGAGCGAACGGG